UAGGGAAUCUUCCGCAAUGGACGCAAGUCUGACGGAGCAACGCCGCGUGAGUGAAGAAGGAUUUCGGUUCGUAAAACUCUGUUGUUAGAGAAGAACAGCGCAUAGAGUAACUGUUAUGCGUGUGACGGUAUCUAACCAGAAAGCCACGGCUAACUACGUGCCAGCAGCCGCGGUAAUACGUAGGUGGCAAGCGUUGUCCGGAUUUAUUUGGCGUAAAGCGAGCGCAGGCGGUCAAGUAAGUCUGAUGUGAAAGCCCCCGGCUCAACCGGGGAGGGUCAUUGGAAACUGGUUGACUUGAGUGCAGAAGAGGAGAGUGGAAUUCCAUGUGUAGCGGUGAAAUGCGUAGAUAUAUGGAGGAAGACCAGUGGCGAAGGCGACUCUCUGGUCUGUAACUGACGCUGAGGCUCGAAAGCGUGGGUAGCAAACAGG
rnacentral:rRNA from 1 species